AAGGACAUGUGGAGCGCUUAGAAGUGAGAAUGCCGGUGUGAGUAGCGAAAGACGGGUGAGAAUCCCGUCCACCGAUUGACUAAGGUUUCCAGAGGAAGGCUCGUCCGCUCUGGGUUAGUCGGGUCCUAAGCUGAGGCCGACAGGCGUAGGCGAUGGAUAACAGGUUGAUAUUCCUGUACCACCUAUAAUCGUUUUAAUCGAUGGGGGGACGCAGUAGGAUAGGCGAAGCGUGCGAUUGGAUUGCACGUCUAAGCAGUAAGGCUGAGUAUUAGGCA
rnacentral:rRNA from 2 species